ACGUGCAGUAACAGUGCGUCCAUUUCGAGUGAGUGUUAUGCCGUUAGUUUGGUGUUUUUAUUUACCAAUUGCCAUGGUGGUUAUCCUAACGAUGGGUUGGAGGAAAGAACACGAGAAAAAAGAGAUCUCACAAGUAACAACAUAACGAAGUUGACGGAAGACGAUUUGCAGCAAUUCACUCUACUUGAAGAAUUAAUCCUCACCGACAAUAAACUGGAUUCCGUUCAUCCGAAAGCUCUCUCCGGGAAUCUGCAAUUAAAACGAUUGUAAGUAGAAGCGUGUCGAACUAAUUAUUUUUUAGAGAUCCCAAUUUAAUUAAGGUCAAGUUUUAUUGCACAAGCUAAUACGUCAUAGCGUAUAGGGAAGGAAGUUUUGCAACUUGUACGUGUUUUACGCGGCUUUGGCUUAAAGCCAUUUCAUUUAUCUCAAGUUGGAAAGCUACUGUUAUU